rnacentral:rRNA from 1 species
UACGAAGGGUGCCAGCGUUGUUCGGAAUCACUGGGCGUAAAGAGUACGUAGGCGGUUAGGUAAGUCGAUUGUGAAAGCCCCGAGCUUAACUCGGGAAUUGCAACCGAAACUAUCUAGCUUGAGUAUGGUGGGGGAUAGUGGAAUUUCUAGUGUAGGGGUGAAAUCCGUAGAUAUUAGAAGGAAUACCGGUGGCGAAAGCGACUAUCUAUGCCAUUACUGACGCUGAGGUACGAAAGCGUGGGGAGCAAACAGG